UCAUACCUAUUCGAAGGGAUAGGGUCGGUUCGGCCGGAUUUUACACAAGUGUUGCAUGGCUGUCGUCAGCUCGUGUCGUGAGAUGUUGGGUUAAGUCCCGCAACGAGCGCAACCCUCAUCCUUAGUUGCCAUCAGGUAAUGCUGAAUACUUUAAGGAAACUGCCAGUGAUAAGCUGGAGGAAGGUGGGGAUGAUGUCAAGUCAUCAUGGCCUUUAUGGAGUGGGCUACACACGUGCUACAAUGGUGUCUACAAUGGGCUGCAAGGUGCGCAAGCCUAAGCUAAUCCCUAAAAGACAUCUCAGUUCGGAUUGUACUCUGCAACUCGAGUACAUGAAGUUGGAAUCGCUAGUAAUCGUGGAUCACCAUGCCACGGUGAAUACGUUCUCGGGUCUUGUACACACUGCCCGUCACGC
rnacentral:rRNA from 1 species